rnacentral:rRNA from 1 species
ACGAACGCUGGCGGCGUGCUUAACACAUGCAAGUCGCACGGAAAGGCCCUGCUUUUGUGGGGUGCUCGAGUGGCGAACGGGUGAGUAACACGUGAGUAACCUGCCCUUGACUUUGGGAUAACUUCAGGAAACUGGGGCUAAUACCGGAUAGGAGCUCCUGCUGCAUGGUGGGGGUUGGAAAGUUUCGGCGGUUGGGGAUGGACUCGCGGCUUACCAGCUUGUUGGUGGGGUAGUGGCUUACCAAGGCUUUGACGGGUAGCCGGCCUGAGCGGGUGACCGGCCACAUUGGGACUGAGAUACGGCCCAGACUCCUACGGGAGGCAGCAGUGGGGAAUAUUGCACAAUGGGCGGAAGCCUGAUGCAGCAACGCCGCGUGCGGGAUGACGGCCUUCGGGUUGUAAACCGCUUUCGCCUGUGACGAAGCGUGAGUGACGGUAAUGGGUAAAGAAGCACCGGCUAACUACGUG